ACAUAUACCUACCUCAGCUUCCAUUUUGUUGCAAAUCAGACAGUCGAGAGGGAAUAGAGAUAUACACACAUUUCUAGAUAUAGCCAUUUCUACAUUCAGAGAGUUCAGACGUCAAUUCAACAAUCUCUGAUAAAGGGCUUUUACCAACUAAGCCUGAGGAAGUCGAUCGGCUUUGAGCAUAUUCGUGCGCUGAAGUGAAUUGAUGUUCUACUCGGCUUCACGGGAAAACGACGCUCAUUGGCACAUGACAACUCCAGAUCUUGCUGGACCUAAAAGUGCAGCGAGAAGUAGACCGAAGACUACUUCGAGGACCUGGAGCCCAAUUGGAAAGGAGAAAUUAAGAAGGAAGUAUCUCUGCACAUUCAACUUUCUAACAACAAAGAGGUGACA
rnacentral:lncRNA from 1 species